rnacentral:rRNA from 1 species
GAGGAAUAUUGGUCAAUGGUCGCAAGACUGAACCAGCCAUGCCGCGUGAAGGAUGACGGCCCUAUGGGUUGUAAACUUCUUUUAUACAAGAAUAAACCCCUCUACGUGUAGAGGGCUGAAGGUACUGUAUGAAUAAGCACCGGCUAACUCCGUGCCAGCAGCCGCGGUAAUACGGAGGGUGCAAGCGUUAUCCGGAAUCAUUGGGUUUAAAGGGUGCGCAGGCGGGACUUUAAGUCAGUGGUGAAAUCCCUUCGCUUAACGAAGGAACUGCCAUUGAUACUGAAGUUCUUGAAUUUAGUUGGCGUGGGCGGAAUGUGCCAUGUAGCGGUGAAAUGCUUAGAUAUGGCACAGGACACCGAUCGCGAAGGCAGCUCACGAAACUAAUAUUGACGCUCAGGCACGAAAGCAUGGGGAGCAAA